CCGAGCCCCCCAGCGCGAGACGAUUCUGAUGACGACGACGACGACACCUACGUGAGAAUGGACUUUGCCAGACCUGACAACGAGAAAUUCGACUCUCCCCAAAGAGAGUGAUUUCAUUGCCACAAAAGCACACUUUAGAAGAAAAGUGAUGCUAACGGAAUUUCAUCUUUGUCUACUCCAGAUCUGCCUAAAAGAAAGAGAAUUUACAGGCUUCUGAAUAGAAAGCAACCUGAAUUUCUAAAAGCCUGCAAGUGGAUGCUGGCAGUUGAAUGAUCCUAACACAGGUCAUUUGUGCUGCUGCCCUACGGAUCCAGUGAUUUUGAAUUAAGAUAUUCACACUGUACUUUGUUUUUGUUUUCUGGUUUCCUUCCCUGAUCUGUCUUUUUAAAAGGAAAACAAAUACUGUAAAAGUGAGCAUCUCAANNNNNNNNNNNNUUUUUUUUUAAAUGUUAUUUACAUAUGUGUAAAUGUGGCCAAGACCUUAAGUUUUCGUGAUGUAUAAUACUUAGAUUUAGUUUUGCAGUUGAAAACCCAUGAAAUAAGAGAAGCUAAAAAAAAAAAAAAACCUAUGUUCCUGAGAAGGUAGGUAUGAUCUGGAAUCUUUUUCUGAGUAGUCUAUACACAAAACAUUUCUUGAUCAAGGAAUUAAACAUCAACUGAACUGAUAUCUUGAUGGGACAUUUCUAAUACUUUCAAGGCGGGACCAAAGGGCAGAUUUUCUCAGUUUUGCUCAUCAACAAAACUGCAGCAUUCUGUCCACAUUCAAUGUUACCUGCUAUCUCGAUUGACCAUUUCCAACGUUUUAAAGGCAGAACAGAGGAACACAUGAUCUGCUUCUUCAUCUACAACAUGUGAUGUUCUGCUUGCACAUCAAUUGAGCAUUUCCAAAGCCAUGAAUUUUUGUUUCUUUAGAAACCUACACUUUCCCCUAAAAGAAGCCAAGUUCUUCAAAAAGUUACCGUCACAAAGACCCCCCCCCUCUGUCUCUCUGCCCCCCCCCUUCACUCUCCAUUCUUCCUUUCUUUCUGACUCUUCCCUUGCCCUCCACUCUCCCUCCUAUGCCCAGGGCUCCUAUAAAGAGAUCAGUUUCCCAUAGUCAAGAAAUUCGUGUAGACAUAUCAAUCAAUAUUCUGACUAAAACUUAAGCCAAAAGGAACCUCUUAUAAGGUCUUGUUUUCCUUUGGAGAAUAAGACAAUAUAAGAUGUACUAAAUUAAAAAAAAAAAUCAGAGCAAGCUACCCCCUCCUGUUUCAGCUUGCCUCUGAUGGAAACUGAAUUAAGAUUUUUAGGAACCUGGACCUUUGAGAACAGGACACUAACAGGUGGUGAUCACAGAGGCUAGGUACAAAGGUCUUGAAGCUUGCUUAGAGCUUUGUUACGUGGUGGCGCACAAGUCACGACUUGUGACACCGUCACUGGCAAACCUCAUCCUAUCACAAAUGGCUGUGAGUAUCUGUAUAAGUGUGUGAGUGCUAACGUGUGUGCACCUGUUCGUGUGUAUGCACACCUUUGUGUACCUGUGUACAUGUGAUUGUAGAUGUACCUGUUGUGCGUAACUCUGUUUAAAAAAAAAAAUUGCUUCGCAUUUAAUGUGCAACCUUGAGAUAGUGUAAUAUUUACCUGAAGUCAUUUGCCACUCGGUUGUGAUGUCUUUGAACGUGUACUUCUAUCUUCGAGCAGGCUUAUAGUACAUGUGUUGCUACAAUCGCUUUCCUGAAGAACCGAGCUGACUUCUAUCCUUUUUCCUUGCCUACCAAUCAAAGGGAUGGGGCGGGGGAGCUCUUUCAUUUUUUUGUUCCCUCGUGAAUGGUGCUGAGGAGAGGAUGUGGCUGCAGGACCAAUCACUAUCCGUUACUGGUCACUGUUAGGGCAUCGGUUCCAUCAGUUCCUUCCCACUUCUCUUUUUCCAACCUAAUCAAGUAACGCAGUGUGGCUUUUGUUCAUUAUGGUAACCGUGCAGUCUUUCAGGAACCCUUUUUUCAAGCCUUCCGUCACCAUUUUACUUUCAAGUAAGUUAAGUCAUAAUCAUUCAGAAUUGAGGAUAGAAAACAUUAUUUGGGGGGAAAAACUGCUCUAUUGCUUUAUUUGCAUAUUAGGUUCAGAGGCUGCCAACAGACAGGGUACAGCACAGAGUAACACCGGCUGAAUAAAUGGAUGGGAAACCUCAUACACAACAGUACAAUUAGUAACAGGUACAAAUAGUCACAGGUACAGCAUAACAAAUAUGCAAUCUUUUGACACUACUUCUUAGUUUACAGAUAAAACUAAUUUAUUCAGUAUUGUGCUGGAAGAGUCGUUUUGAAUAUGUGUAGCAACAUAUCACUUACCUUCCAGCUACCAGUUUAUGCUGCUGUUGAGAAAAACCAAUGAUGGAACGAUUUUUUGUGUGUGUGACCUCUGCAUUUAAUUUGGUAUCAGCCAUAGUCACUUGGUCAGUAAAAACUAGACAGUUCCAACAGUUCAUUACAUUUGCUCUUUCUGCUUCACAGAUCUGCUUUGAGUUGCUCUGGCUUUGUCUUCCUUUGUAAAUACUCUUAUAUUCUUUUUUUUUUUUUUCUUUGUAAACAUCUCAUUUGCAGUUUUGGGAGACAACUUUGCAACUCUGUAUAGUGUUUAUAUAUAUAUCUGACUUGCCUUUCCAUAGAGCUACUCGCAAUAAAUGUGUUCAUGAACGU
rnacentral:lncRNA from 1 species